GGACUACUGGGGUAUCUAAUCCUGUUUGCUACCCACGCUUUCGUGUCUCAGCGUCAGUCAUGGUCCAGUAAGCUGUCUACACCACAGGUGUUCCUCCUGAUAUCUACGCAUUUCACCGCUACACCAGGAAUUCCGCUUACCUCUCCCAUACUCUAGCACUCCAGUCUGCGGCGCACCCUCCCAGUUAAGCCGGGAGAUUUCACACCACACUUAGAGCACCGCCUACACACUCUUUACGCCCAGUAAUUCCGAACAACGCUUGCUGCCUACGUAUUACCGCGGCGGCUGGCAC
rnacentral:rRNA from 1 species